AGACAAGGAAAGUGCACGGAUGCACUAGUCUUCACAAAAUCAUCGAUGCAAUGCAUCACGAAAGUGUUGUAUGAAGGAUGUAGCAGGCCCUGCCAGGGGUUUGCAAUGAUCGUCGUGCAUAGUCGUGUAAUAUGUG
rnacentral:misc_RNA from 1 species